rnacentral:rRNA from 1 species
AGCGAACGCUGGCGGCAGGCUUAACACAUGCAAGUCGAACGCACCUUUCGGGGUGAGUGGCGGACGGGUGAGUAACACGUGGGAACGUACCCUUUGGUUCGGGACAACUCUGGGAAACUGGAGCUAAUACCGGAUACGCCCUAUUGGGGAAAGGUUUACUGCCGAAGGAUCGGCCCGCGUCUGAUUAGCUAGUUGGUGGGGUAACGGCCUACCAAGGCGACGAUCAGUAGCUGGUCUGAGAGGAUGAUCAGCCACACUGGGACUGAGACACGGCCCAGACUCCUACGGGAGGCAGCAGUGGGGAAUAUUGGACAAUGGGCGCAAGCCUGAUCCAGCCAUGCCGCGUGAGUGAUGAAGGCCUUAGGGUUGUAAAGCUCUUUUAUCCGGGACGAUAAUGACGGUACCGGAGGAAUAAGCCCCGGCUAACUUCGUGCCAGCCGCCGCCGUAAUAC